AACGAACGCUGGCGGCAUGCCUAACACAUGCAAGUCGAACGAGACCUUCGGGUCUAUUGGCGCACGGGUGCGUAACGCGUGGGAACCUGCCCUUAGGUUCGGAAUAACUCCCCGAAAGGGGUGCUAAUACCGGAUAAUGUCUUCGGACCAAAGAUUUAUCGCCUUUGGAUGGGCCCGCGUUGGAUUAGCUAGUUGGUAGGGUAAAAGCCUACCAAGGCGACGAUCCAUAGCUGGUCUGAGAGGAUGAUCAGCCACACUGGGACUGAGACACGGCCCAGACUCCUACGGGAGGCAGCAGUGGGGAAUAUUGGAAAAUGGGCGAAAGCCUGAUCCAGCAAUGCCGCGUGAGUGAUGAAGGCCUUAGGGUUGUAAAGCUCUUUUACACGGGAUGAUAAUGACAGUACCGGGAGAAUAAGCUCCGGCUAACUCCGUG
rnacentral:rRNA from 1 species